CUAUCUGCUGCAGCCAGGUGAAAUGUGGGCGUGUCCUCGACCAGGUGAAAUGUGGGUGUGUCCUCGGCCAGGUGGAAGGUGGGAGUGCCCUUGACCUUCUCCUGUCUCUGGGGUCUUCAACACUGAGACACCUCUGUCCUGGAUCAUGUCCAAAGAAACUCCCCACAUGGA